CGCUCCGUCCGCCGCCUCCCCUGCGGCAGCGGCUCCGGAGGCCCGGGCCGGGCCCGGGCCUGCCGCAGUCACAGACGGCUUUGGCCCUUCCAAUCCAUUGGUAAAUACAUCACUGAUCCAAAUUCCAGAGGCUUCAGACUCAAAAUCUCUAGUGCCUCCCUCCAGUCUACAUUUACUCACAACAGCAAAUAGCAAAACAGCAAUGUUGCUGCGUUGUGUGUUUGUGACCUCUUGGUGGCACAGUGUGAUGUAAAUUGCUGCUGUGACCCAGACUGCAGUGCCGCAGAUUUCAG